rnacentral:rRNA from 1 species
UACGUAGGGGGCAAGCGUUGUCCGGAUUUAUUGGGCGUAAAGAGCGUGUAGGCGGCCAGGUAGGUCAGCUGUGAAAACUCGAGGCUCAACCUCGAGACGUCGGUUGAAACCACCUGGCUAGAGUCCGGAAGAGGAGAGUGGAAUUCCUGGUGUAGCGGUGAAAUGCGCAGAUAUCGGGAGGAACACCGGUGGCGAAGGCGGAUCUCUGGGCCUGUCCUGACGCUCAGGCGCGAAAGCUAGGGGAGCGAACAGG